CCACGGGUCUCUGCCCGGGUCAUCUCUCGGGGCUCCCCUUGAUUGAGCUGGGGGAUCCCGGCUAUGAACUGCUGUAAACUCCUCUGCAUGUUUUCGUUCAACUGUCGGGCAAUCCGCUCAAUGUCCGCCAUCGUGACCGGCAUAGGGUCAUCUCGGGGAGCAGAAUGCUCGUCGUUACGGGGGGUCGACCCCUCGUCGUCUAUGGCCAGGGAUUCGACCAAGACAUUGGGUUGGUGAGACUGGAGAGGUGUGGGUUGGCGAGACAGUGAACAUUGUAACACCCCGUAUUUUAUACCCGAUUAAUAAUUAUCUGUAUUAAUUUUGCUGAAAAUGAUUUUAGAUUUCUUUUAUUAAAAAUAUAUUUUUUUACUAACUUUGACUUUACCUUUGAAGUGGUUAAAAAAAAAAGAAAAAAACUGAUUCCUAGAUUUACUAGGUUACUAUCUAUUAAUUAGCACUAUAUUAGUAUUAUAAGGAGAGAGAAAGUAGAAAAAGAAAAGAAACAAAAGAAAAAAAAAAAAAAAGAGGAGUGGAAGAGCAAUCUAAGUACCAGACUCACGAUAUCACCAUUUCUUUCUCUUCCUUUGGCAAUUGACUUCUACUUCUUGCUUCAACCAAGGAAACCAAUCAAAACUACAAAAUUUAUUGUCAACCAUCAUCACACUUCAACUCUUGUUCGUCUCUUCAAUAGUUCUAGAUUUUUCUUGUGGGUCUUUCAAAGAGUGAAUUUUUGGGGUUUAUUUUGGACGUUUUGGGACGAACUUCGGAUCGAAAGGGCGGUUUUCGAGUAUUUCUUGUGUGAUUUUUGUCUCCCAUAUUCAAGGACUUGAAGAUAGUUAGCUCCAGUUGGGUUAAAGAGUGCGUUGGAUCCAUUUUGAUUUAGUAGGACUUUAAAAAGACUUCCGCUGUUAUUUAUUUAUAGGAUUAUGUUCUGGUUGUAAUAAUUAAUUUUACAUUCUAUUUAGUUGGUCUGUAAUAAUUAGUUAAAACUUAUUGGUUAUUGUUUUAGUUAGAACCAUUAGCCUUGCGGUUAUUAUUAAUAAUUAUCGCGGCGUAGCACCUUUGGAUUUCUGAGUUCAUUUAUAUUAAGUUGAUUUUAGAAGUAUUGGAAAUUCAGGGUUGUUA